UCCAGACUCCUACGGGAGGCAGCAGUGGGGAAUAUUGGGCAAUGGGCGCAAGCCUGACCCAGCAACGCCGCGUGAAGGAAGAAGGCUUUCGGGUUGUAAACUUCUUUUCUGAGGGACGAAGAAAGUGACGGUACCUCAGGAAUAAGCCACGGCUAACUACGUGCCAGCAGCCGCGGUAAUACGUAGGGGGCAAGCGUUAUCCGGAUUUACUGGGUGUAAAGGGAGCGUAGACGGCGAUGCAAGUCUGAAGUGAAAGCCCGGGGCUCAACCCCGGGACUGCUUUGGAAACUGUAUGGCUGGAGUGCUGGAGAGGCAAGCGGAAUUCCUAGUGUAGCGGUGAAAUGCGUAGAUAUUAGGAAGAACACCAGUGGCGAAGGCGGCUUGCUGGACAGUAACUGACGUUGAGGCUCGAAAGCGUGGGGAGCAAACAGGAUUAGAUACCCCAGUACA
rnacentral:rRNA from 1 species